rnacentral:lncRNA from 1 species
GUUCCGGCUUCUUGUUUUCCAGAUGCUAUGCGCAGACCACGCAGUGACCCAUUCGUCCUUGCGUGAAAACAGACUAAUGAAUACAGGAGGCCUCAGAGGGCAGCAACCCUGCUAGCCUUGGUCUUGAACUUCCAGCCUCCAGAACAUGAGAGAAUGAAUUUCUUGUGUGAGUCCCCAGUCUGUGGGACAUUGUUAUGGAGCCUGAGCUGAUGUGUGCGACCCCGGAAGCCCUGUCCUCACCCCGAGCAGCACGCGACAGGCUCGGGAGAUGUCCACAGUGGGCCGGCCGUCCUCACAGAGCACCGCGCCUUGGGCAUGAACACUGUGUCCCUGCUCCAUCAGGUCUGCGAGAGACACAGAGCAGCUGGGCUCAGCGUCUCCAGCCUCAUCGCUCACCACCUCUUCCAACCCCGGGCUCUGGUCAGAUUCGUCAUCGUGGCCUAGAUUCAAUCAUGUCCCCUCAGAGAAGCUGCCCCACGCACAGGGCCUCCAGAGCCAGCUGCCUGAAGGCAGGACCCUUCCCGACUGUCCUGUCCAGAGGAUCCCCCACAAAGAUGGCCCCCUGGCAGGUAAGAGGAGCCGGGACAUGCUUAUGGAUGGACACAGAGCCCAGGCAGCACCGGGUGUCCAGGCCUGAGCUGAGGACAUGUGGGGCCCUGGACUGCCAGUCACUUCUCUGGGUCUCCGAUCCCUUCAUCUGGAAACACGGAGUUCUUGGGGAGCUCUGUGAGGCCCCAUGGGACAGAGACGUUGAUGUCAUCAGGCAGCACACGCUGCUGAGCUCUGAGGGUGAGCAGGUGAAUGGUACCUGGGCCAGCCUGUGGGAGAGCCCCAGCAUGGGGCAGUCAACGUGGCCCUGA